rnacentral:rRNA from 1 species
GAUGAACGCUGGCGGCGUGCCUAAUACAUGCAAGUCGAGCGAACAGACGAGGAGCUUGCUCCUCUGACGUUAGCGGCGGACGGGUGAGUAACACGUGGAUAACCUACCUAUAAGACUGGGAUAACUUCGGGAAACAGGAGCUAAUACCGGAUAAUAUAUUGAACCGCAUGGUUCAAUAGUGAAAGACGGUUUUGCUGUCACUUAUAGAUGGAUCCGCGCCGCAUUAGCUAGUUGGUAAGGUAACGGCUUACCAAGGCAACGAUGCGUAGCCGACCUGAGAGGGUGAUCGGCCACACUGGAACUGAGACACGGUCCAGACUCCUACGGGAGGCAGCAGUAGGGAAUCUUCCGCAAUGGGCGAAAGCCUGACGGAGCAACGCCGCGUGAGUGAUGAAGGUCUUCGGAUCGUAAAACUCUGUUAUUAGGGAAGAACAAAUGUGUAAGUAACUAUGCACGUCUUGACGGUACCUAAUCAGAAAGCCACGGCUAACUACGU